CCACGACACAUGGGGGCAGCGUCAGACAGAACUCGGCCACCCUGCCCUUGGACUGGCAAAGUGCAGCCCAGGACCAUUUACUUAGCUGCAAAGUCCUGAGGGGCGUAGUCUAGGCGCUAGACACUGAAGUGGGCUGCACAGGA
rnacentral:snoRNA from 1 species